GACGAACGCUGGCGGCGUGCUUAACACAUGCAAGUCGAACGGAAAGGCCCUGCUUUUGUGGGGUGCUCGAGUGGCGAACGGGUGAGUAACACGUGAGUAACCUGCCCUUGACUUUGGGAUAACUUCAGGAAACUGGGGCUAAUACCGGCUAGGAGCUCCUGCUGCAUGGUGGGGGUUGGAAAGUUUCGGCGGUUGGGGAUGGACUCGCGGCUUAUCAGCUUGUUGGGGGGGUAGUGGCUUACCAAGGCUUUGACGGGUAGCCGGCCUGAGAGGGUGACCGGCCACAUUGGGACUGAGAUACGGCCCAGACGCCUACGGUAGGCAGAAGGGGGGAAUAUGGCACAAUGGGCGGAAGCCUGAUGCAGCAACGCCGCGUGCGGGAUGACGGCCUUCGGGUUGUAAACCGCUUUAGCCUGUGACGAAGCGGGAGUGACGGUAAUGGGUAAAGAAGCACCGGCUAACUACGUG
rnacentral:rRNA from 1 species